GGGAGGUGUGAUAUCGUGGUUCCUGGGAGGUGUGAUAUCGUGGUUCCUGGGAGGUGUGAUCUGGUGCUCCCU
rfam:Homo sapiens chromosome 9, GRCh38 reference primary assembly.